CCCAACCGUUGAAAUCUCCACCACCGCCAGUACUGGUGGCCUCUCCACCUCCAUCGGUGAAAUCUCCACCACCGCCGGUACCAGUGGCCUCUCCACCUCCACCGGUGAAAUCUCCACCACCGCUGGCUCCAGUGAGCUCACCUUCUCCUCCGGUGAAGUUGCCACCACUACCAGCUCCUGGGAAAUCAACCCCACCUCCAGAAGAGGAAAAACCAACACCACCUACUCCAGUAAAGUCAUCGCCGCCUCCAGAGAAGUCUCUACCUCCACCCACUCUGACUACCUCUCCACCACCACAAGAGAAGCCUACUCCUCCAUCAACUCCAUCCAAACCACCACCAUCUCCAGUUGAGACACUACCUCCUCCAUCAAAGUCUUCUCCACCGGAAGAACCAGUUAGCUCACCACCUCAAGCACCAAAGUCGUCAUCUCCACCAGCUCCUGUAAGCUCACCACCUCCACUGAAGUCUUCUCCGCCUCCAGUACCAGAGAGCUCACCACCACCGACACCUAAGUCAUCACCUCCACUGGCUCCAGUGAGCUCACCACCUCAAGUGGAGAAGACUUCUCCACCACCAGCACCAGUCAGCUCACCACCACCGACACCUAAGUCAUCACCUCCACUAGCUCCAGUGAGCUCACCACCUCAAGUAGAGAAGACUUCUCCACCACCAGCACCAGUCAGCUCACCACCACCAACACCUAAGUCAUCACCUCCACUAGCUCCAGUGAGCUCACCACCUCAAGUAGAGAAGACUUCUCCACCACCAGCACCAGUCAGCUCACCACCAUUGGAGCCUAAGCCAUCAUCUCCAC
rnacentral:lncRNA from 1 species